rnacentral:piRNA from 1 species
CUGGAGAAGGACUGCGCUGCAAA